GCCCCCAUCGUCUAGUGGACUAGGACAUGGGCCCUUCAAGCCUAAAACAGGGGUUCGAAUCCCCUUGGGGGCA
rnacentral:tRNA from 1 species